CGUCCGCCCCUGCCCCAGCGCGCCGUCGACCGGCCCUGCCCCAGCACGCCGCCGUCCGAUCCCUGCCCCAGCGCACCGUCGACCGGCCUUGCCCCAGCGCGCCGCCGUCCGCCCUUGGCCCAGCGCGCCGCCGACCAGUCCCUUCCCAGCACGCCGCCGACCGGUCCCUGCCCCAGCGCACCACCGCCGGCCCCCGCCCCAGCGCGCCCCCAACCUCGGCUGAGCGCCUCCACACCCCUCUACUCCUCCCUUCUUCUUCAUCAACGCAGACGGGCCCGAUAAGUUCUGGCACCAACCACCGUGUCACAACCUCAGGUACCUCCAUCGCACCCCCACCCUCAUCGUGAUGAGCACGCAUGGAUCCGAAGCUGCAGGUGCAACCCACGAGGCUUGAGGGACGAGCGCGACAACAACACUUGUGUAAGUUCAGGUUGGUAUAAAUGUAUUUGGAGAGGAGUUAUUGAGUUUAUGUUCUUCUAGCGCAAAAUGUGUCUGUCAGUUCAAAAUGUUCAACCCUCUAAGCUCAGAGAAAAAAAAGAAACAAAUAAACAGAAUUCAUGAUAGAAAAAAUCCGUGAAGUUCGCAAGGAAAACAAGAUAAGUUCAAAAAUAAUAAAUAUAUAAGUAGAACAUUGGAGGGAAUUUUAUUGUAGAUUUAACAAUCUGGUGUUGCUGCUGCUUGUGUUGACUGUGAUGGAGUACUAUUUGCUAUUCCGGUAUAAUUACAUUCUGCUAUGAGAAUUUGCUGCCGAGGGCAUGAAGUAGCAGCCUGCCAAGUUGCUGCCGCGAAUGAACUUGGUUGAUUGUAGGUGAUUGUACUGAACUUGUUCUAUGUUAUUUAUGGUUAGAACUAUCAAUGGAUAAUGAAGGUGAAAAUGAUUAUAUUGGUCUGCAACAACAGAAAAGUUAGCUGGAAGUAGGAAGUUUGAUUCAUCUGCUACUGCUCUUUUUGGGCUUCUGCUUUACUCCAAAAAUAGUGUGUUUUGGAUUGGAUGCUAGACAACAUGAUUUCAUUUUAGUACUAAGAUUAUUGCAUACACUAAAGUGGCAAUCCCACUGUUGCGUUAACACCUAAUUUUGUUGCUCUGAAUCUGUGAGAUCUUGGAUGUUGGAGUUACCCUUGAAGAAAGAACUUGGGCAUUUGAGUUGCUUCCAUGUGGCGAGUCUUGAUCUUGGUGGCACAAAACUACAUUUCAGUAUCCAACUAUUGCAUCAGGAAGUUGCAUGAGAUGAUUUUCCUUUCAAAUGCAUGCUACGUUUGUAGCUCUCAAAUUUUCUCCUUUGUGGAUGCGUUUGUAAGCAGUCCUUUCUCACCUUUGUUGUCACUUUUUUUGUUGAACUUAAGGAGGAUGCUUGGGAUAAAAAUGCCUUAUUUAUUUUGCAAUGCUUGAACUAAUUUGUUUUAGUAGUACAAUUUUUAUUUUUGUAUGUUGUAUGGCUUGCCGACCUGCUCUCUCUCUCUGAUUUGUGAACUGAUACUUUAUAUUUGGUGAACUCUAUCCUAUAUGCGCACCCACCAAUCACACCGCUGGUUGCCUGCUCCUCUUGCUUACUCCCGCAUGAGGCACGCUACGCCGAGCACGCACCCGGCCGCCCUGCCUCCGGUAGAUCGACACACUGAGUUCAGUUUGUUUUUUCCAGUUCAAUUCUAAAAAAAAGUUUUCUCCAUCUCUGUAGCUUACUUGAACUGAUAGCUGAUACUCGAUGAACUCUGUCCAAUUUGAAUCUUGAACUGAUAGCUGAUGGUUUUAUGAACUAGUAAAAAAGUUUCUGUUUCAUCUUUGACUCUUGUUCUCUGUUCUUUCACUCUCAAAAUUACGUGCAUGUGCAGAUGCUACUUGUUGAUUGCUACUUGACGCAACCAUUAUGUGCAUGUGCAGAUAUCUGAGUGGAACUUCAUUUUUUUUCCAGUUCAACUUUUGAAUGUGUUUCAGUUCGUCUACUUCCCGGUCGUCCUGAGCUGGAGAAUUGCUGCUACUGUUUAUGUGUUUGCAAAUUUUUGAAAACAAGCUUCAGUACAAGAAAAAUGGGUGGUCAGUCCAGCUCCUGCAACCAACACAGGUCGUUGCCCCUUUUGCCACAACGGUAGCAGCACAAACAUUAGUGUGGUCAUCCUCAACCAGUUUCUCACGCGGCCUCCCCGCAAGCCCUGCUCAUGUAUGCUUACACCAAAAGAUCAGGAUAACCUCGAUAGGUUACACAUGUUGCUCACGAGGCUGAUAGGUUCCACAUGUUGCCCAGGAGUAUACCCGUAUGGAGCGGAGAUGACAGUCGAUCUUGUUGACAAUUCUCAAUAAAAAUGAUGGUGAAGUUGGCAAACGUCUAAAUCAGAUAGUGCAUACCCCUGAUGGCCUAAAACAAGUACUUACACAAACACAUAUAUGAGAUUGCCACGACAUGCCGUUGCACAAGCCACCGCGUCCACGCUCCGCACGCGUCGCCGCGACCAACGCCCCAUAUGAGCCGCCAUGGCCACCAACCACAACGGCGACCAGGGAUCGGGGCGUGGCCUGCUGCAUCCAGCGGGUGCUCACAAGCUGCAGUGUUGCUUCUCCAGCGAGAUGUCAUGCUGCACGGUGCUGCCACACCACCGCAUCUCUAUUUUCUUUCGUAAGUUUUUAUUAAAAGACCUUGGAAUAGCAAGUACAAGUUCAACAGAAGGACAUGCAUUAGUUCGGACCUCAGAAUAGCAAGUAGAAGUUCAAUAAAAGGACCUACAUCAGUUCCUCAGUACAUAUCAAUUAGCAAAAAUUUAUAAGAGGGAACCGCUAUGACAUUAGGGGAUCCAAUGUUGAAAAGUUCAAUUCAGCUACGUGUGCAAGUUCAAAGAAUUAUUGUAGGAAGGUUUAGAGGUUUGGUUUUGUGAGAAGAAAGUAUGAUUUUCUAUCAGUAUUUUGUAUGAUUCAUUUGCCUCAGGUGCAACCCAAAACAAGACAAAAAUUAA